GACGAACGCUGGCGGCGUGCCUAAUACAUGCAAGUAGGACGCAGUUGCGAACGGGUGAGUAACGCGUAGGUAACUACCUAUUAGAGGGGGAUAACUGUUGGAAACGAUCGCUAAUACCGCAUACUAGUAGAUGGACCUGCGUUGUAUUAGCUAGUAGGUAGGGUAAUGGCCUACCUAGGCAACGAUACAUGGCCGACCGUAGUGGGUGUUCGGCUAGACUGGGACUGAGACACGGCCCAGACUCAUACGGGAGGCAGCAGUAGGGAAUCUUCGGCAAUGGGGGGAACCCUGACCGAGCAACGCCGCGUGAGUGAAGAAGGGUUUCGGAUCGUAAAGCUCUGUUGUUAAGGAAGCGGUACUUAACCAGAAAGGGACGGCUAACUACGUGCCAGCCGCCGCGGUAAAC
rnacentral:rRNA from 1 species